CCUACGGUGCGCUGCAGUGGGGAAUAUUGGACAAUGGGCGAAAGCCUGAUCCAGCCAUGCCGCGUGUGUGAAGAAGGCCUUCGGGUUGUAAAGCACUUUCAGUGGGGAAGAAAGCCUUGGGGCUAAUACCCUCGAGGAAGGACAUCACCCACAGAAGAAGCACCGGCUAACUCCGUGCCAGCAGCCGCGGUAAUACGGAGGGUGCGAGCGUUAAUCGGAAUGACUGGGCGUAAAGCGCGCGUAGGCGGUCUGAUAAGCCGGUUGUGAAAGCCCCGGGCUCAACCUGGGAACGGCAUCCGGAACUGUCAGGCUAGAGUGCAGGAGAGGAAGGUAGAAUUCCCGGUGUAGCGGUGAAAUGCGUAGAGAUCGGGAGGAAUACCAGUGGCGAAGGCGGCCUUCUGGACUGACACUGACGCUGAGGUGCGAAAGCGUGGGUAGCAAACAGGAUUAGAUACCCUUGUAGUC
rnacentral:rRNA from 1 species